rnacentral:rRNA from 1 species
UACGUAGGGUGCAAGCGUUAUCCGGAUUCACUGGGUUUAAAGGGUCCGUAGGCGGGCAAGUAAGUCAGUGGUGAAAUCCUUGGGCUCAACUCAAGAAUUGCCAUUGAUACUACUUAUCUUGAAUGCGGUUGAAGUGAGCGGAAUAUGUCAUGUAGCGGUGAAAUGCUUAGAUAUGACAUAGAACACCAAUUGCGAAGGCAGCUCACUAAGCCGACAUUGACGCUGAGGGACGAAAGCGUGGGGAUCAAACAGG